UCGAAGGAGACGGUGAUUGUCGGAACUU
rnacentral:sRNA from 1 species